GGGCAACCUCCCUGAAUAUAGAUGGCUGAAGUUUCCAAUCCCCCAUGUCCUUCAGGUAACGGGAGUUCCAGUCUGCUGUUUAAUUCUCCAGACCUGGGAUGUGUUCUGUUGUCACCGAUACCUUGUGUUGUAGACAAUGGCAGAAGUCUCGGGCCAAUAUUGCUAAUAUUCGUGAUUUGGUUCCACUCAGGUGAUUGAUGUAG